GACGAACGCUGGCGGCGUGCUUAACACAUGCAAGUCGAACGGAAAGGCCCUGCUUGCCGGGUACUCGAGUGGCGAACUGGUGAGUAACACGUGGGUGAUCUGCCCUGCACUUCGGGAUAAGCUUGGGAAACUGGGUCUAAUACCGGAUAGGAGCCAUCUUUAGUGUGGUGGUUGGAAAGUUUUUUCGGUGUAGGAUGAGCUCGCGGCCUAUCAGCUUGUUGGUGGGGUAAUGGCCUACCAAGGCGGCGACGGGUAGCCGGCCUGAGAGGGUGUACGGCCACAUUGGGACUGAGAGACGGCCCAGAGUCCUACGGGAGGCAGCAGGGGGGAAUAUUGCACAAUGGGCGCCAGCCUGAUGCAGCGACGCCGCGUGGGGGAUGAAGGCCUUCGGGUUGUAAACUCCUUUCGCUAGGGACGAAGCGUUGUUGCGACGGUACCUAGAGAAGAAGCACCGGCUAACUACGUG
rnacentral:rRNA from 1 species